rnacentral:rRNA from 1 species
GAACGCGAAGAACCUUACCAAGUCUUGACAUCCUUUGACCACUCUAGAGAUAGAGCUUUCCCUUCGGGGACAAAGUGACAGGUGGUGCAUGGUUGUCGUCAGCUCGUGUCGUGAGAUGUUGGGUUAAGUCCCGCAACGAGCGCAACCCUUAUUACUAGUUGCCAGCAUUGAGUUGGGCACUCUAGUGAGACUGCCGGUGACAAACCGGAGGAAGGUGGGGAUGACGUCAAAUCAUCAUGCCCCUUAUGACCUGGGCUACACACGUGCUACAAUGGCUGGUACAACGAGUCGCAAGCCGGUGACGGCAAGCUAAUCUCUUAAAGCCAGUCUCAGUUCGGAUUGUAGGCUGCAACUCGCCUACAUGAAGUCGGAAUCGCUAGUAAUCGCGGAUCAGCAUGCCGCGGUGAAUACGUUCCCGGGUCUUGUACACACC